GAGGCCAGAACUGACCGGCACCUGUAUGUGGUACCCACACCUAAGAGACUGGUGCUGAGGAAAUGUAUUGCCAUCCUUCCCUGCCUUCCCACCAGCACCCAGAUGCUGGCCCAAGGAAGAGGGUGACCCCAGAAUCAUCAGUGACAAGGGAAUCUCCAGAGAGAAUCCUCUACCCUUGGACUUGGUUUCCAGGAACCCGGAACAGGACCCUGGACUCGACAGAGUACAGUAAUCUAUGGCGUAGACAAUCUGCUGUUUCUACAACUGAUAUUUUGUCUUGUGACAUUUCUCAAGCUUGCAUUGGAAGCAGGAUGGCCCUGCAAAGGAUAAUAUCUUCGGUGAGGUCGGAGGAGAGACAGCAAGCACAGUCACUUGGAGUUUUGAUAUGAAGUUGACACAGGCUGAGAAAGAAGAGCCAAGAAGCCACGUCGCCUGGAGUAAACCCAGCUCCUAUCUGCCAGACCCAAGGGGGGAAUCUCAGAUUCCCCAGCUCCUGCCCAGCUCCUGCCCAGCUUCUGUGGGGCUGAAGUUCACUUAGAGCUGCAGGCCACAAGCCCAGGCCAUCCCAAGCAGGCCUCAUGACAAUGUAUAUGUUUCUGAGAAAUCCUCUUUUGGGGAGAGCAGGACUUAGCCUGCAUAGACUAAGGAUCCCCUGAUAGGCAAGGAAACAGCAGCCAGUCACUUGUAGGUUAGGUCCCAGGAGUGUCCAGUCCCCAUGCUGGCCCUGUCCAAGUUCCAGGAAGGGACUUUCACCCAGAAAUAGCUGAAGACUAUGACAACCUUCCCAACACACUUGUUUAUGAUUUGACUUAAUUAUUUUUCUAUUUAUCUCUAUUUCUGAAUCUCUCCCUUUGGGUUUCCUGAGCUGGAUGCCCUCUCCUUUUUGGGUAGGAUGCAUGGCCACCAUGGCUGCAGAUGCAUCGUAAGGAACCCUCAGAGGUGGUGGGAUUCUGCAACUGGGGGAGCCUGGAGCCUGGGGGGUGCUCCACCAGCUCAGCCACACAUGUGGUUGUUCCACCCACUCAGCCCCCACCUUGUUCCAACUGGAGCCUGACGUCUCCCCAACCACAUCUGACCAUGUCACUCCUCCAAGACCUCACCCAGAUCUCUACCACCACCUGGCCCUCUGACAAAAGGGGAUGGGCUGGCAUUGUCCAUCUAGCCUAGGCUACAUUUCCCAGUCUUCUUCCCCCGGGUUUCCAGCCUGGACCAUGUGGGAAAGUCCCAUGGAACUGGAAGGAGAUGUUCUUCUAUAGUCCCUGCCUCUGUACUGCUGCAUUCCACUUUUGUGACUUUUUGGCUUCUCAGAGUCAGGUUACCAUCCUUAUGAGGUCACGGGCACAACUAUGAAGUACCUCCCACCUGUGCUUCGGGGCCAGCCCUCCCUCAUAGAUGCCUCUCUCAUGCACUUUGAAGCGACUCCAGCACUGACCACACAGCAGGAUCUGGAUGCCCAGACCUAGUGUGCGCAGUGCCUGCCACACACCCAUGACAGUGUUACAGUUGGGUAUGAAGUGUCCUCGAGAAGGGCCCUGUGUUGUAGGCUUGCUUCCAACCCAGCAGCAUUCAGAGAUGGAGCCUCUGGGAGGUGAUCUGUCACCAAGGCUGAUGCAGAAUCAGGAAGCAGUGGGAAGCAGGAAGUGGGAAGCAGGAAGUGGGAAGCAGGAAGUGGGACGUGGAUGGAGGAAGUAUGGAACUGGAAGCACGGCUUUCCCCCUGCUGCCUCCUCUCGUCUCCCUCUGCCUCUUGCACCCUGAGAAAUAAGCACCUUUUCUCUGCCUCACGGUCCUGGCAGGAUUCUCUGUCAGACUCCUCGUGCCCACAGACCGCAGACCAGAGCCUCAGAAACCAUGAGCCAAAAUAAAUCUUUUUAAUUUUAAAA
ensembl:lncRNA